GCACAAGCGGUGAGCAUGUGGUUAAUUCGAAGCAACGCGAAGAACCUUACCGGUCUUGACAUCCCGAUGCUAUUUCUAGAGAUAGAAAGUUACUUCGGUACAUCGGUGACAGGCGGUGCAUGGUUGUCGUCAGCUCGUGUCGUGAGAUGUUGGGUUAAGUCCCGCAACGAGCGCAACCCCUAUUGUUAGUUGCCAUCAUUCAGUUGGGCACUCUAGCGAGACUACCGGUAAUAAACCGGAGGAAGUGGGAUGACGUCAAAUCAUCAUGCCCCUUAUGACCUGGGCUACACACGUGCUACAAUGGUUGGUACAACGAGUUGCGAGUCGGUGACGGCGAGCUAAUCUCUUAAAGCCAAUCUCAGUUCGGAUUGUAGGCUGCAACUCGCCUACAUGAAGUCGGAAUCGCUAGUAAUCGCGGAUCAGCACGCCGCGGUGAAUACGUUCCCGGGCCUU
rnacentral:rRNA from 1 species